GGCCUCGCCAUGGCGCCCGGCCACGGGCCGCGGUAACGGCCGCGCGCUGAGAGGGGCGGCGGCGCAGGCCGGGCCGGGGGCGGUGCAGCCCGCCGCAGCGGGGAGGGGGGAGCCGGCGCCGCUCCGUCUAAGUGCCGUCCCGGUGGUCGCCGCCGCCGCCGGGGAGCCCGUUUCUCCGCUCCGCCUCGAAGGACGCGGACCAUGAGCUUCCUCCGGUGGCUGCCGAGACUUGCGGGGGGAGGCGGCGGCGCGGCGCGGCGGGGCGCGGGCACCCCGCGGCGGGCUUGGGGCGGCGGCCGCGCCGCCUCCAGUGGGGCGGCGGCGGGGGGCUACGAGGAGGCGUUCCGGUGCUCCGUGGCCGAGCCCGAGAAGCUCUGGGGGGCGGCGGCCCAGCGGAUCGCCUGGCACAAGCCCUGGGCCAAGGCGCUGGAGAGGCGCGGCGCGGGCAGUGCCUCCUGGUUUGUAGAUGGAGAGCUAAAUAUUUGUUACAAUGCUGUAGAUCGCCAUGUUGAGAAUGGACGAGGAGAACACAUUGCCAUUAUUUAUGACAGUCCUGUAACAAAUACCAAAGAGAAAAUAACUUAUAAGAAGCUUCUUGAACAGGUCUCCAAGUUAGCUGAUGUCAUGGUCAAACAUGGUGUGAAGAAAGGAGAUCGUGUGGUCAUCUACAUGCCCAUGAUUCCACAGACAGUGUACUGUAUGCUGGCUUGUGCAAGAAUAGGAGCCAUCCAUAGCCUUAUUUUUGGUGGAUUUGCAUCUAAAGAGCUUUCUGUUCGCAUUGAUCAUGCAAAGCCUAAACUUAUUGUAACAGCAAGUUUUGGAGUAGAACCAAAAAGGAAAGUGGAAUACAUAUCCCUUCUAGAAGGAGCACUGGCAAGGGUACAGAACAAACCUGAGAAAGUUCUCAUUUAUAGGAGACCUAACCUGGGCCACAUUCCUCUUGCCCCGCAUCGUGAUCUUGACUGGGAGGAGGAGCUUGCGAAAGCACAGCGUUAUGAGUGUGUGUCUGUUCCUUCAGACCAUCCACUUUAUAUUCUGUAUACAUCUGGAACAACAGGCUUGCCCAAGGGUGUUGUCAGACCAACAGGUGGCUAUGCAGUUAUGCUGAACUGGACAAUGUCAGCUAUAUAUGGACUCAAACCUGGUGAGGUGUGGUGGGCAGCUUCUGAUUUAGGCUGGGUCGUUGGUCAUUCCUACAUUUGCUACGGGCCUCUCCUUCAUGGGAACACUACAGUUUUGUAUGAGGGGAAGCCUGUGGGAACGCCAGAUGCUGGUGCCUAUUUCCGUGUGCUAGCAGAGCAUGAAGUAGCUGCCGCCUUUACUUCACCAACCGCAAUUAGAGCAAUCCGUCAGCAGGACCCUGAGGCAGCUUUGGGAAAGCAGUACUCUCUGACAAGGUUCAGGACAUUAUUUGUAGCUGGUGAGCACUGUGAUGUGGACACACUAGAAUGGUCAAAAAAAGUCUUCAAGGUACCCGUCUUAGACCACUGGUGGCAAACUGUUAAAAUGACCUCUCUGUGGAGGGAGCAUGUGCAAGGAAUCUCUCCAGAGCUUCAUUCUUGCUGGGCAGAUCGAUGUGUUAUCAGAGUCGGGUUCUGCAAUUACUGCUUCCUGUAUUGGUUUGGGAAAUUCUGCAACGCCCCCACCAGGACAGGCAGGGAAACCAGUGCCAGGAUACAAUGGUUGCCUCUGCCUCCUGGAGCAUUUUCAGGUCUUUGGGAAAAUCCAGAAACAUUCCAGAAGUUAUAUUUCCAAAAAUUUCCAGGAUACUAUGAUACUAUGGAUGCAGGUUAUAUGGAUGAAGAUGGCUAUUUAUAUGUCCUGUCUCGAGCUGAUGAUGUGAUCAAUGUUGCAGGACACAGAAUUUCAGCAGGUGCAAUUGAAGAGUCUGUUCUCUUCCAUCAUGCCGUGGCAGACUGUGCCGUUGUAGGCAAGGAGGAUGCCUUAAAAGGGCAUGUCCCAUUUGCACUAUGUGUACUGAGAGAAGGUGUAAAGACAGAAAAGAAGAAGAUUUUGGAAGAGAUUGUUGAGCAAGUUCGAAAAAACAUUGGUCCAGUAGCAGCUUUCCAGAAAGGAGUGUUUGUGAAGCAGUUACCAAAAACACGUUCUGGCAAGAUACCGCGUUCAGCUCUUUCUGCACUUGUCAGUGGAAAGCCGUAUAACGUAAGCUGUAGAUGUGUGCCCUAAUGAAUUAGAUGCACGUGCAAAGACUCAACAUCAUCUUUUUGAUUCUCUAGACCAUUCUGCAAUUGCUCUAUGACUUCAGAUAACACCAACCAUUGAAGAUGCUAGUGUGUUUAAACACAUUGAAGAAGUGCUGAAGAAAAAUCAAAUGUGAUAAUAGGUUAAUAACAAACUGGAAUAUACAAAGAGACUCUCUGUUAAGAAACACCACAUUUUAAAAAUGAGUAGUGAUUUGGGACAAAAUUUUUUACUACAGAAAUGGUACUGUGUUGUUUAACGUUGUCAUAACCAAUGAAACAUGCUGAAGCAUCUGCAUGUUGUCAUUUUAUGCUGGAUAUUAAGAUUGCUAAGAAUUGCAGAUAGAAUUCAUGCAUUUCUAAAGCCUUAAAUUAGAAAGAAUCAUUAGAUUAUCUAAUAUGGUCUCUUGUGACCUUCCAUUUUAAUCCAUUAUUAUAUAAUGAGAACAAUAACUUGAAUUUGGCUAAAACAGCUUAAAAAAGGUAAGUCAUGGUAUGAGGACAGCAAUAAAUAGAAAUUCUAAUGUGAAAAUUAUUGCACAUAUAAAUUGUCUUCACUUACAAAAUAUGAGCUUUAUCUUUUUUAAAAAAAGUAAAGUUAUUUUUCUGGUUUCCACUGAUUUUUGCCAAGUCUGUCAGUUAUAAAUUAGAUUCCUUUAGUUGUUUUAUUCAGUGAUUUUCCAAAGUGCCUUUUUUGUAGGAUGUUAGAUGAAGUCUUCUGGCUUUAAAAAUCUGUGAAAACUUUGAUUUAUCCAUAGUAAUAUUGAAUAAAAACAUGAAUUUGAAAAAUUUGAAAUAAAAAUACAUUUACUCUA